AAUAAUCUUAUUUUCGUUUUUUUGUGUGCAACGUUUGACCAUUCGUCUUAUUUGAAAAAUUUGUAUAAAAAUUUUAAAAAAUUAGUCACAUAUAAAAUACUAUUCAUAUUUUAUCAUCUAGUAAUAAUAAAAAUAUUUAUCAAAAAAAAAAAUUUCAAAUAAGAGGAAUGAUCAAACGUUGGACACGAAAAA
rnacentral:pre_miRNA from 1 species